AACGAACGUUGGCGGCGUGGAUUAGGCAUGCAAGUCGAGGGAACCCAGCAAUGGGGAACCGGCGUAAGGGGCAGUAAGGCGUGGGUACCUACCCCGGGGUUCGGGUUAGCCGUCCGAGAGGGCGGGUAAUACCGGAUGACCUGGUGACAGCAAAGAUUUAUCGCCCUGGGAGGGGCCCACGUGAUAUUAGGUUGUUGGCGGGGUAACGGCCCACCAAGCCUGAGAUGUCUAGCGGGUGUGAGAGCACGACCCGCGCCACUGGCACUGAGACACUGGCCAGACACCGACGGGUGGCUGCAGUCGAGGAUCUUCGGCAAUGGGCGCAAGCCUGACCGAGCGACGCCGCGUGGGCGAUGAAGGCCUUCGGGUUGUAAAGCCCUGUCGGGGGGGAGAAACGGGUAAAACCUUGAUCUAUCCCCGGAGGAAGCACGGGCUAAGUUCGUGCCAGCAGCCGCCGUAA
rnacentral:rRNA from 1 species